rnacentral:rRNA from 1 species
ACUAAAUAGAUACCCGGGUAGUCCACGCCGUAAACGUUGGAUACUAGGUGUGGGAGGUUUUCUACCCCUUCCGUGCCGCAGCUAAACGCAUUAAAGUAUCCCGCCUGGGGAGUACGGUCGCAAGACUGAAACUCAAAGGAAUUGACGGGGCCCGCACAAGCGGUGGAGCAUGCGGUUUAAUUCGACGCAACGCGAAGAACCUUACCCGGGCUUGACAUCACCGUAAGGAACCGUGGCUCUCUGGAAACAGGGAGUCUUAGGUAGACAGGUGUUGCAUGGCUGUCGUCAGCUCGUGUCGUGAGAUGUUGGG